GAUGAACGCUGGCGGCGUGCCUAAUACAUGCAAGUCGAGCGAACAGACGAGGAGCUUGCUCCUCUGACGUUAGCGGCGGACGGGUGAGUAACACGUGGAUAACCUACCUAUAAGACUGGGAUAACUUCGGGAAACCGGAGCUAAUACCGGAUAAUAUAUUGAACCGCAUGGUUCAAUAGUGAAAUACGGUUUUGCUGUCACUUAUAGAUGGAUCCGCGCCGCAUUAGCUAGUUGGUAAGGUAACGGCUUACCAAGGCAACGAUGCGUAGCCGACCUGAGAGGGGGGUCGGCCACACUGGAGCUGAGACACGGUCCAGACUCCUACGGGAGGCAGCAGUAGGGAAUCUUCCGCAAUGGGCGAAAGCCUGACGGAGCAACGCCGCGUGAGUGAUGAAGGUCUUCGGAUCGUAAAACUCUGUUAUUAGGGAAGAACAAAUGUGUAAGUAACUAUGCACGUCUUGACGGUACCUAAUCAGAAAGCCACGGCUAACUACGUG
rnacentral:rRNA from 1 species